rnacentral:tRNA from 1 species
UAAAAAUUAUUUUAUUACAAUAAAAUCUCUUCCUGUUAAGAAGAAAAAUUAAGCAAGACCUUAAAUUUUUAG